CUUUCUUUAUAAUGGUGUGGCUGACUUGAUAAUUUGGUCAUUCAUAAUGAGGAAGCAUAUAUAAAAAGAAGAACUUGCCAGUCUUUAACAGCAUGAUGGUGAUUUCUAAUUACAUUGUGUUACCUGUCUGCUGGUAAAAUU
rfam:Citrus clementina cultivar Clemenules unplaced genomic scaffold scaffold_3, whole genome shotgun sequence.